UAGGAUAAAUAAUAACUCUCAAUCUGGUUAAAAAACUUGAUCAAUCCUAUUUUUGCAGAGGUUUUAGAUAAGCAAUAAAAUUUUAAAUUACCUCCAAUUCAAGCCUUACUCAUACAACAUAAUCAAAACCAAAGCACUUGAUCAUCAUAAAGCAAGGGCAUUGCAUAAACAAAUCAGUUACUAAACUCCACAACUAAAAUUUAGAAUUCAAGACAAAGCUUAUGAUCCAAAGUUGUAAAG
rnacentral:lncRNA from 1 species